AACUGAGUGUAGCUACCAUACAGUACUUUUUUUCUACCUUCAACUAUAGUCAUCUUGGUUUUAAUUCAUGGAUUUAUUUACUCAUAGCUUAUCAUUGAUUGACUAUUUAUUUGUUCAUUCUUCAUUUCAUUCGGUACGCUGUCAGUUUCAUGUUGUCAGAUAUUACCAGGCACCUUCCAUGACACAUAAUACUACAACUCUGCUCAGGCUGGGAUCAACUCACAAUAUUCCACUCGUGCUUUAUUUCUUUUUGUUUUUGUUCUAGCAACUCACAAGAGUCUAUGCGUGUCUUUUCUUUUUUCUUUUUUUUCUUUUAUUCUAUUCUAGCAACUUUCUGUUGUAUCACAGUUCGAUGAUACCAAUACAAAAAUCAAUUAAAUAACAAGUAUAUGAUUUGUCCUUAUCUCUAUUCCCCCAAUACUUUGUUAUCUCUAUCUUUUAGUAACAUAUUUUCCUUCCCACUAAAUAUGCACUGGUCAACCACGUGGUCUGAGUCGAGACAGGGCAUCGAUUUAAUAUUUCUUAUCUGGCAUCUUUGCAGGUGUGUGACGAUUGGGACGAUGGGAGGAGCAGGCAGAGGGGAGCGAGAGAGGGAGAGGGGAAGUGCCGCACAGGGGGGAGGAGGAGGAGAAAGAGGAGAGGGGAUGUGACGGAAGUGGAGCGGGAGGUGAGAGGAGACAGGUGUGAGGGGGAGAAGGAGACAGGUGAGAGAGGGAGGGAGAGGGAGCGGGAUGAGGAAAGGCUUAUAACUCCUGUGGCAGAGCAAGAGGAAGGCAGUGUGUUGUAGGCGCUUCCUAUUGUACGAGUACACACACACACACACACACACACACGCACACACACACACACACAACACAGCAGCGACACAGUGUGCAUGGGUUUGGAUGUGUGUAAAAUGUAACGUGGCACCACUGUGUGUGAGAGAGAGAGAGAGAGAGAGAGAGAGAGAGAGAGAGAGAGAGAGAGAGAGAGAGAUGGGGGAGGGGAUUGGGGGAGUCGACGAGCCCCACCAUCUUCACUCGUUCAUACACACACACACACACACACACAUACACACACACCUCACCACUCCCUGCAGCGCUACCUCCCGGGCAGCACACACACAGGCUGGAGGGCCCACUACACUCUACAAGAGGCAUAAAAGCAGGAGGCCUUAUUUCCGUGGUUAUGAGUUGUGACCGUUAUAAUGGGCAGGUGAUAUAGAGAUGCUCGUUGUAUCGGUUCACAAGUCUUAACCAUGGUUGAACAGCGACAGUGAUGCUUGCUUGCCCUGUUUUGCUGAAACUUGCAACUGGAAUGCCUUCUAACAUGACUUCGAGGCAUCUGAUGUGCAACAUUGACAAUUGUAGGUGCUCUUUUAUAUAUUCUGAAUCUUUUAUGACAGGGUUUCCCACAGUGGGUGGUACCACUACCCCAUUUGGGCAUUGGAAGGGUCCCAGAAGCAGUAAGGAAAAGGGAGGAGGAAGGGAUAGGCACCAAUCCAAAAAUAUUUUAGUGUUGUGUAUUUCAAAUUUUGUUAUUAAUGAAUCCAAAGACAUACUAUUAUUAUCAAUGUCUGCAUAUCAGCAUCCAAACAAUCUUAAAACUAUAUCAGUGUGAUUACUGUACUGUAAUAUUCAUGAUUAUUUAAUGUCCUGCCUCUAUAAUGGACGUGAAGCAAUCAGGUACGGAAUUGAGAAUUGAGAGGUAGUACCUAGUGCUGGAAAUGGUCAAUCAGUCCUACUUUAAUUCACAGCUAGUGAAGGUGUGUUAGUUUUAGUUAAUCUCAGUUGUAUUCAGUUGCUUGUGUUUGUGUGGGUAGGAGGGCUUCAGUGGUGUGAGUGGGAGCCAAGGGGCAACAGUCCAAAAAGGCUUGGGGACCACUGCAGUGAUAAACUGUUGAUAAUUCAGUUUGAUUCUGAAGAUUAAAAUAAGCAUUCUAAAAUUCCUUGAAUAUCUUGUAAGACAUCAUGAGGAUGAAAAUAAUGUGGAAUGACUGACAACUCUUAAAUAAAGGAAAACAUUAAAAUUCUAUGAGUUAUUGAUAAAAAAAUCCUUUCAGUUGAUAAAAAUUAGACGAAUAUGAUGUAUCAUAGUACAUCUUUUUUUCCUUUUGCGUACUGCUUUGUUUCCUUAUAACAUGAAUGAUGUUCUUCCAUUCUUCCUGAUCUCCUUCUCCCAUCUUUCACUAAGUCUCCUUCACUACCUGCCACUAACUUACACAUGUACUACUGUUCAGCCUACCCAUACCCUUGUACUAAGCCUGACUCUCCAUUUUUAAUCCUCCCCUUUUCUUUAAUAGAUUCUCUUUGGCAAUCUCACUUGAUGUAGCUAUUCUUUUCACAUAAUCAAACCCUUUAUGCUUCCCAACUUAUCCACACCUCACUGCUCACACUUGUAAUUCCUUACCAAUAUCUCCAUGUAACUUCAAACAUCAUAGCUAAAACUCCUUCCAUGAAGUUACCUUUCUUCCUUCUAGAAGCUAUCUUUAAAGGAACAUAGUCCCUCUAUGCAUGUAGCAGUAUGUUUCCACAUAUGGAGAAGUUCAACUAGCACAGUCCUCCUAAAUGGGAUGGAGUCAGAAGAUUUCUAUCUCUUCAGUUCACUCCAUUACACACUCAAUUUCUCUCACUUACCACUUGCAUCUUAAUUUUCUAUAUAAGCAAUUCUUUAUCCAUUUUUAUGAAAUAAAGCAUGUUUCUGCUACAUCUUUAUGAUUGCCCAUUAGAAGAGGGACACAACAUAAAUGACCAAGCAAAAUCCAUCCAAUUUGAUAAACUUUGUUCAAUGAACUAGACUUUAAUUCUCUCAAGACCAAGACUAAGUAAAGGUUUCUACUAAACUUCUAGUGUCAUAUUCAUUCCAUAGUUCUAGUCAUAUUCACUCCAUCCACUGGCUGUUACAGCUAUCUCAUUGAGUGAACCAUGUGGUUGCAUAAGAAUCAUCGAAUAAUACACACCCAAAUAUGUGGUCUCUAGCAUUAUCAUUGUUCAAGUAUAUUUGAUGGAAAUGAACUUGAGUGUAUUGGCUAUUCAAAACCUAAAAUGACCAAGUUUAUGAUAUGUUAGGCUUAUCUGAUAGGAUUCAUUAUACUGAGGGUUUACUAGUACAUGACUCUGAGUAAAAUGUAUGUAUACAAUUUAUUCAUGACAGCAUGUACAUUCACAGCAUCCUAUGUCGUUUCUUCCACAAUGAUCUAAUUGAACUCAUUGAUCUCACACACAGGUUCACAGACAUCCCCAUCAUUACAUCCUUACAAUAUCACUUACUAAUUCUUAGCCAAGUAAAUGCCCACAUACAUAGUGAUACAUACUUUCAUAGGAAUCAAUCUUUGUACUCACCUAUUCAACAUAUUUCAUUCAUUGUGUAAUACAGAAUAAAUAAUGCAAUUACUUUAUUUGUACUUAGUCUUUCUGGAGCCUCUCUUUGUUGGUCUGUACCUACUCUCUCCCACCCCCAUUAAGCGCUCUCUCCUGCACAUGUGUGGUAUUGGACAUCUGUGAACACACACACACCUGUGUAUAUAUGUAUGCAACUCUCUCUCUCUCGCCCAUAUUUUACUUAAUACUUUUAUCAGUAUCUUGAUUUAAGAAAUGUAAGGAGACUGGAUAUUUCUUUUUUCUACAUCAAUUCAAAAUAUCACAAACAUAUAGAGUAGAGGAGGCAGUUUGCAAUACCUUAAGCAGACAAUAUCAGCUAUGAAACCUCCACACUGGAAUACGACCACGAAAGUUUUACCAGCAGUGUAAAAUUGUAUCUGCUAUGAUGUCGGAUAUCGCGCUGCCCUCUAUUGCUGCAGUUUCUCAGCAUGAAGUACUGUAAGUGAAGCAAGGUUAGGAUGGCUCAGUGCAUCUACUGGCGAUAGGUUACAUCGAGUUAUUGCACUAGGUGUCUUAAGUUCUUUAUUUUUAUCUACAAGCUUUAAAAAUCGUUCUCAUUAAGUAGUUAGUAAUUCCACUUGCCUGUCAAGGAAUAAAAGUAAGAGAGAGAGAGAGAGAGAGAGAGAGAGAGAGAGAGAGAGAGAGAGAGAGAGAGAGAGAGAGAGAGAGAGAGAGAGAGAGAGAGAGAGAGAGAGAGAGAGAGAAAUUACAAACUAGCUUUUUAAUUUUUUCCAGGGGAAGGAGUCAGGUCACCAGGCAUGCAAGCAAGUGCAAAUCGACUCACUUUCUGGUCACCGCAACAGAAGUACACACUGAUGCUUUCCCCGUCUUACCGUCUACACCAAGGAAAAAAAGUCUCUGCAUCCAAUGAUGUUCAAUAAAUAAGUGGAGCUUGGGGCAAUAACUGAAAUUAAAUGCUGUUUCAUCUUAUGUUUUUUCUCACCACUCACUAUGUUAGAUUGGGUAUCUCGAGAGGACAUAAUAGUAAAUAUUAUGCAAAUUACCAGUCUCAUUUUCACUUUCAUAACCAGUGCCCUUACUGUAAUUAUUUACUUAUGACAAUCAUCUGCAGAGAUCUUCAUAUCUCUCAUGUCCCCCGCUCCCCCAACUUUUUUUUAUUCGUAUUUAUUUAUUCAUUUAUUAUUUUUUUGUUUUAGCAAAAUCAUACAUUAAAUUGAAUACAAAACUGUUAUUCCAUUUCCCUUGAAUUAAUGAAAGAUAUAACAAUGUGGCAUGUAUUAUCGGCCUCAUCCUGUGGGCCAGUACAAUUUAGUUUUACUAUAGCCUAGUAAUGCCCUACCCUAGUUGGCACACUACCCUCCAAGGACAUUUUAAGGAGGCUUUAGACAUUACCUACACAAUUCCUUAUUUGUUAAAAGUAGACAUGUUUAUCCUCAACCAUUUGACAGCUGGGCAUAAUAACGAUGAAUUCAUUGACAAGUUAUGUUAGUUUUGUAUGAAAAUAGAUUGCGCCCGUGACUAACACUGACAUUCAUGUGUACUAUCGAAACCAUUAGCGGACCACAAGGUACCUCACCUAUAGUGGAAAACACACUGUCUAGUUCUCUCUGGUGCACACAAAACAGUGGGAAGGUACUGGUGGAAAAAUUUGAACUUUGCUUCGUCAAUUCAACUCUCUGUUUAUGUGUUCUGGGGCUUAACACAGGGCCUAACGCACAGACCUGCCUUGUGCACAGACCCUCCAGUACUCUACAGUAAUUAGAAAUAUGAGAGAGAGAGAGAGAUAUUCCUCCCAUAACACUGUCCAAACUAAUGUCAAGAAACAUCACCAACACUGUGAGAGUUAAGUAUUAAUGCAGGCAUAAAUGUCUAGUGUGCUUUAACUGCAAUAUGUAACAUGAAACAAGAGAGUUACCAUCUCUAACUUCUACAAUAGAUCAACUAGACCAAUCUCACCCACCAGACCUCUUCAUGGCAGCAGUCAUGCCAUUUUAGGUUUAUAUCGAAAAAAAUUAAACUUACACAAAACAGCUCAAGAAUAAGAAAAUGCUGUUCUGCAUCACAGUAAGACAAAAUAAAACAUGUGAAGACAGGCAAAGGAUAUGAGGAAAGGCAUAAUACAAACAGGGUAAGACAACAAACGAUGUUAUAGAGAUGUGAUUUUAUAUCAGAGGAUGAGGAAAAAUAGUUAUUAUAUGAAGUGAUAUGAUACUCAAUGAUGAUUCAAUAAAUAUGAACUUGUUAUUGGCACGUAUGACAAGAUACUUGAAGAAAUUGGUAUAAAGAACAUCUCAUGACUGCCUUAUAGUAAUUCAUACAAAAGUUAAACCUGGAUUUCAACAAAUUAUAAUAAAAAUGCCAUAUCUUAUUACAAUUAUGUAUAAACAGCAACAAAAAAUAAUCCGAAUAAUCAGAACCAGAGAAUGUGGGCGUUCCCAUUUCUAGAUGCUGAAUAAAUAUACAAAUUACUUGGCAAGCUUCCAAGUGAUGGGGCAUAAUAAUGGUCUAUAACUAAUACAGUGAUGAGCUGGCAGCUCUCCUGAGAUGUUCUGGUGUUACAAAUAACAAGGUGAUGAUACUCAGACAACAAACAAACACACACACACACACACACACACACACACACACACACACACACACACACACACACACACACAC